rnacentral:rRNA from 1 species
CCCUUAGAUGUACUGGGCCGCACGCGCGCUACACUGAUGCAUUCAACGAGCCUAUCCUUGACCGACAGGUCCGGGUAAUCUUUGAAUCUGCAUCGUGACGGGGAUAGAUUAUUGCAAUUAUUAAUCUUCAACGAGGAAUGCCUAGUAGGCGCAAGUCAUCAGCUUGCGUCGAUUACGUCCCUGCCCUUUGUACACACCGCCCGUCGCUCCUACCGAUUGGGUGUGCUGGUGAAAUGUUCGGAUCGGCCGUUUGUCGCGGUUUCCGCGUCAUGUGGCUGAGAAGUUCAUUAAACCCUCCCACCUAGAGGAAGGAGAAGUCGUAACA